GUUAUGAAACGGCUGAAAUUGCAGCUUUUUGGUCUAAACGGCAUACCAAAAUUAUAAGUGGUACAGCUCCCAUAUACUUUGACACUCUAGGGUGGAGGAAAUUUGCAAGUGA